rnacentral:rRNA from 1 species
UUUCAUAAGCUUCUUUCAAAGAUUAAGCCAUGCAAGUGUCCGUAUAAUCUUUUAGACGAAACUGCGAAUGGCUCAUUACAACAGUUAUAGCUUACUUGACGAUUUCUCCACGGAUAACUGUGGGAAACCAAAGCUAAUACGAGUGAAAGACGUCGCGUAAGCGUCGUUGUUCUUGCUGGUGCUUUCAAACCAAACGCGCCCUAGGCGUGUCUGCUGAACCACAGCAAGAGAUCGAGUCGGAUUUCCGAUGCGUCAUUCAGGUUUCUGACCUAUCAGCUUUCGACGGUAAGGUAUUGGCUUACCGUGGCUUUGACGGGUAACGGGGAAUUAGGGUUUGAUUCCGGAGAGGGAGCCUGAGACAUGGCUACCACGUCUAAGGAUGGCAGCAGGCGCGCAAAUUACCCAAUCCUGACACAGGGAGGUAGUGACGAAAAAUAGCAGCUCAGAGCUUAUGCUCUGUUGAUUGCAAUGGGUUGAGGUUACAACUCUCAGCGAAAUCCAUU